rnacentral:lncRNA from 1 species
AAUAAAUAAAUAAAUAAAAAGAAUAAGAAAAAAAAAAGAAAAAGAGAAGAGAAAAAAAAAAGAUAAAUUAAAUUUUAAUUUAAGGACAAGUGGUACUUUGCUAGCCACUUGACCAAAUAAAAAAAAAAAGAAAAGAAAAGAAGAAGAAAAAAGAAAAGACUAGAAGAGGGAGGAAGUUAUCUUCUUCAAUUUCUUUUCUUCCUCUGCCGUGAACCCAAGAGAAACUAUCUUAUUCAUUUUUUUUCUCUACAUCAAAAUUGCUUCAAAAUUUCACCUCCAAUCAAUUACCCAUAUUCUCUCAACACCUUUCCAAAGUAGAAUUUGAAGAAAAGAAGAGAAAAUCAAAGAGAAAAUUCAAGGUUGAGGGAGAGUAAAUAGUAACCAAGGGUUGGAAAAUUUAAAGGUAUGUUAGGGGUUUUGAUAUAGGAAUGUUUCUUAUCAUUUUUAUGUGAAUAUUUAUGAGGAAUAUUGUAUUAAUAUGAUUUAUUUGUUUAUUUUUCAUGAAGAAGAAGUGGAAGGGAAGAGUGGAAAUUCUAAAGGAAAAGGAAGAGAAAAGGAAGAUUAGAAAAUUUUAAGGUUUGUGCUCAACUUUAUUUGACUAAAUUUAAGAAUUUGUUAAUUAUGUUC